ensembl:lncRNA
CUUGUGGCCAGCGUAGGUCAAAUGCUGGUUGGGGAGAGAAGGGGAAAAAUGAGGGAGAGUUAAUUCAUUCUGGCCUUUGACAGGGAGCCACAGGCUGAGGACAUGACAAUGGCGGCGGACGCUCGCCUCGCCUGAGCUGAGGAAAGAAAGCGGGAGCUGCGUGACAAACUCCUCAGCCCGGCUGACUCCAGAAAGGAAACCAUGAAUCCAGAAGAAGUAAGACAACACCUAAAUGACAGCACAUCCAAUGACAAGUUGUACUCCACGCUCCCAAAGUCACGCGACAUCUUAGCCGCAACUCUAUCGCAACGAUUGAUGGGCUGUGAAGAAAACUGUGGGAUGAAAUAUGUGGGACAAUUUAAAUAAAAAAGAACCAAUAUUUCCCCAUAUUUUAUCUUUGUUUGCAUCCUCUCUGCAUGCUGGGGCAGUGCAUUGAGCAGUUAACAGGUUUUGCAAUGUUUCCACCAAAAAUAGAACACCCGAACACCAAUUCUUCUAACUAUUCACUGUGAAACCAAUUAUCUAUUAUGAAUCUAUUAUGACACUUUGGGGGUUUUCUCAUCCGUCCUGAGCGAAAGAGAAAAUCCCCCAUAGAGGUAAAGUACGACGC